CUCUAUCUGCCUGUCUCCUGACACUUUGAUGAGUGUGCCCACAUGGAAAAGAAACGGGCUCUGCCCUUAGCGAGGGCCACACAUUCCCACUCCGGAAUUUCCAGCAAGAUGUGAACACGGCCAAGGACGGCCUCGCUGCUUGCUCCACCUCCCUUCCGGGCGCUCCGCGGUCCCUUAGCUGGCGGCCAACCAGCUCGCAGACUCAGGCUAACCCACUGCCCCCGCUGGGACGUCGGCCAGAUUGAAUACCAGGAAAUAGAGAUUUCGGCAUCAAGGUGAAAAUGUCCCAACUAAGCAGGAGAUCAUGUACUCUCCAGACAGAGCCUAAGGUGAGGAGGAUUCUCGUUCAGAUGAUGUGCUGAAGGAGUGCUCUCAGGAGAAAAGAAGUGAAAAGGAAGGAGAAAGAGUAUGGUCUCCAAGCUGGAGGUUCAUAGCAGCUGUGAUUGGCUAAUCACAACACCCAAUAGGUGGAAACAGCCCAAAUGUCCAUCAGCAAAUGAAUGGAUAAAAUGUAGCCCAUGCAUGCAGUGGACCUACUCGGCCAGAAAAAAGGAAGGAGAUUCUGACACAUGCUAUAGCAUGAAUGAUCUUGAAAACAUCAUGCUCGGAGAAAUAAGGUGGAUGCAAAAGAACAAAUAUCACACGACUCCACUUGCAUGGCGUACCUGCAAGAGCCAGACUCACAGAGACGAAGUGGAUCAGAGGUCGCUGGGGCCGCGGGGGGUGGGGCUGGGGAGCUGUCUACGGGGGCAGAGUUUCAAGCUGGCAUGAUGAA